rnacentral:rRNA from 1 species
GUGUCAGCCGCCGCGGUAAUACGAGUUGUGCAAACGUUAUUCGGAAUCACUGGGCUUAAAGGGUGCGUAGGCGGCUACGAAAGUCAGGUGUGAAAUCCCUCGGCUCAACCGAGGAACUGCGCUUGAAACUGUGUAGCUAGAGGGAGACAGAGGUGAGCGGAACUGAUGGUGGAGCGGUGAAAUGCGUUGAUAUCAUCAGGAACACCGGUGGCGAAAGCGGCUCACUGGGUCUUUUCUGACGCUGAUGCACGAAAGCCAGGGGAGCAAACGGGAUUAGAUACCCUCGUAGUCC